UAGAGAUUAAGACAAGACUGACAUCACAUAGAAUCAAUUUGGUUUCAUGUCCAUGAAAGCUAAACAUUUCUUACAAUGAUUGAUGGAAAAUUCUUCGAAGAACUGAAAAUAUUUAAACAUGGUUUUGAGGUUUUCAUUUGUAUGGAUAAAACACAUACUAGUAAGGUAUAGUCCAUAGAAAGGUUUCGUGGAAGGAUCUCAAGACUAAAGGAGUUUGUAGUGUGUACAUUCUAGUGAUCAAAGAUUCGGGGUCAUGAACUAGCAUAUCACAUGCAACUUAAUAAUUUUAGCAUUUGUCAAAUGAAUUAAUUUUUUUUUUUUUUGAGAAGGAGGAAUAAAUAAGGAAGGAUUGUAUAAUUAUUUUGGAUUACUUAGUUAAUAAAAAUAAUAGAAAUUUUUAACCUAGGCUCACUCAACUCAACCACCCCCAUUGAAGCCCACAAACAUCAAAGCCUGCAAGAACGCGGAAUGUCUUUCUUCAGUGCCUUCCCGCCGAUUCUGUUUAAUCAUUCAGUUGCCAAACGAAGGAAUACGUAAGAAAAGAAGGGACUUGAAAAGGAAAAAAAUCAAUAAGUAAAAGAGAUCCGAAACUAUCAUCAUCGCCGUCGCUUGAGUCAAGGUAUAUGACAAGGGCAGUUGGUUCGUUUCUUGCAAGGAUGUUCCCAAGUUUCGUAGAAGUAUAAUUCUUUCCAGCAUGUUUCCUUCUCGAAUACGCUAUCAGGAUAUGGGUGAAAGUAACUUUGCUGUUGACACAGGAGCCUGAAGUUUCAACACCAAAUGAGUUUUUGAUAGCUUUGAUGAAGUUCAUGGAUUGUAUCAGGGUGGAAUUAAGCUGCCAACAAACAUACUUAGCAAGAUUAGUUCAUGGAUAUGUGUCACUGCUUAAUUUUGUGUGUUUUUGCAAGCUUCAUGUUCUGUUCUACUCUUUUGCAGCCAAGAAAGAUCAUACCUUGUGCUCAUUGUAGAAUGGGAACCAUUGGAAAAUUGUUACAUCAAAAGCAACAUGGGAAUGCAAACGUGAAUGUUAAGAAGAAAGAUUGGGCGCGUGUUGAAAAUGCGCGUGUGCAGUAAGAAAUAUCUUACUGUGUUGAAAUGGCAGAGUUAACAAGUGUUGAUGUGUUGCUUCUACUGUUAAAUCUGCAGUGGAUAUUCAAACAUCGAGUGAUCUAAUGACUCUUACUGCUGCUGCUACAAUAGGUACUUGCUUUAUCUUUCUACGCUUGCAUGUUAUAAGAUUAGUAAUUGAAUAGUAUUAAACUAUAUACUACCAACACUUUAGAUUGAAGAUGUAUUCGAUGUUUGACAUGUUUUAGUGUCCAACACAUAUUGUUAACAUGUCUGUUUCAGAGUCGUGUCGGAGUCCAUGUCUGUGUCUGUGCUUCGCAGGUAAGGAAUGAUGGUUUGGUCCAAUGAAUGCAUCAAUAAGUCCCUAUGAUAAAGGAAUAGCAUAAACACAUUGGCCUCCUGCUUAUGAGGAUCAAAUUUGUGAAAAUCAUUCUCCACGUGUGGGAGAUUUGUUGCAGCUUACAUAAAAAGGUGCAUUGAGAUGGAAACAUGUGUUUGUUUACAUCAACAAGAAACAUCAGGUACUCCAUAAUUCAUACCUAAAAUUAAAUUAUAUUUUAUUGUAUCUUUCAAUGGAAUUAGUUAAUAAAAAUAAAUUAGAAA